rnacentral:rRNA from 1 species
AUUGAACGCUGGCGGAAUGCUUUACACAUGCAAGUCGAACGGCAGCACGGACUUCGGUCUGGUGGCGAGUGGCGAACGGGUGAGUAAUGUAUCGGAACGUGCCCAGUCGUGGGGGAUAACGUAGUGAAAAUUACGCUAAUACCGCAUACGAUCUAUGGAUGAAAGCGGGGGAUCGCAAGACCUCGCGCGAUUGGAGCGGCCGAUAUCAGAUUAGGUAGUUGGUGGGGUAAAGGCCCACCAAGCCAACGAUCUGUAGCUGGUCUGAGAGGACGGCCGGCCACACUGGAACUGAGCCACGGUCCAGACUCCUACGGGAGGCAGCAGUGGGGAAUUUUGGACAAUGGGCGAAAGCCUGAUCCAGCCAUUCCGCGUGCAGGAUGAAGGCCCUCGGGUUGUAAACUGCUUUUGUACAGAACGAAAAGGUUUCUACUAAUACUAGGAGCUCAUGACGGUACUGUAAGAAUAAGCACCGGCUAACUACGUGCCAGCCGCCGCCGUAA